UACGUAGGGUGCAAGCGUUGUCCGGAAUUAUUGGGCGUAAAGAGCUCGUAGGCGGUUUGUCGCGUCUGCUGUGAAAACUGGACGGCUCAACCUCCAGCCUUGCAGUGGGUACGGGCAAACUAGAGUGCGGUAGGGGAGAUUGGAAUUCCCGGUGUAGCGGUGGAAUGCGCAGAUAUCAGAGGAACACCGAUGGCGAAGGCAGCUCGCUGGGACGUACUGACACUGAGGCGCGAAAGCGUGGGAGCGAACAGG
rnacentral:rRNA from 1 species